CGGGGUGCAGCAGGCGCGAAAACUUUACAAUGCUGGAAACAGCGAUAAGGGGACCUCGAGUGCCAGGUUACAAAUCUGGCUGUCGUGAUGCCUAAAAAGCAUUGCAUAGCAAGGGCCGGGCAAGACCGGUGCCAGCCGCCGCGGUAACACCGGCGGCUCGAGUGGUAACCGUUAUUAUUGGGUCUAAAGGGUCUGUAGCCGGCCGGAUAAGUCUCUUGGGAAAUCCAGCAGCUCAACUGUUGGGCUUUCAGGAGAUACUGUCUGGCUCGAGGCCGGGAGAGGUGAGAGGUACUUCAGGGGUAGGGGUGAAAUCUUGUAAUCCUUGAAGGACCACCAGUGGCGAAGGCGUCUCACCAGAACGGACCUGACGGCAAGGGACGAAAGCUAGGGGCACGAACCGGAUUAGAUACCCGGGUAGUCCUAGCCGUAAACGAUACUCGCUAGGUGUCGGCCACGGUGCGACCGUUGUCGGUGCCGUAGGGAAGCCGUGAAGCGAGCCACCUGGGAAGUACGGCCGCAAGGCUGAAACUUAAAGGAAUUGGCGGGGGAGCACAAGGGCGAAUUGC
rnacentral:rRNA from 1 species